CGCCGCUAUACAUGCAGUCGAGCGGACAGAUGGGAGCUUGCUCCCUGAUGUUAGCGGCGGACGGGUGAGUAACACGUGGGUAACCUGCCUGUAAGACUGGGAUAACUCCGGGAAACCGGGGCUAAUACCGGAUGGUUGUUUGAACCGCAUGGUUCAGACAUAAAAGGUGGCUUCGGCUACCACUUACAGAUGGACCCGCGGCGCAUUAGCUAGUUGGUGAGGUAACGGCUCACCAAGGCGACGAUGCGUAGCCGACCUGAGAGGGUGAUCGGCCACACUGGGACUGAGACACGGCCCAGACUCCUACGGGAGGCAGCAGUAGGGAAUCUUCCGCAAUGGACGAAAGUCUGACGGAGCAACGCCGCGUGAGUGAUGAAGGUUUUCGGAUCGUAAAGCUCUGUUGUUAGGGAAGAACAAGUGCCGUUCAAAUAGGGCGGCACCUUGACGGUACCUAACCAGAAAGCCACGGCUAACUACGUGCCAGCAGCCGCGGUAAUACGUAGGUGGCAAGCGUUGUCCGGAAUUAUUGGGCGUAAAGGGCUCGCAGGCGGUUUCUUAAGUCUGAUGUGAAAGCCCCCGGCUCAACCGGGGAGGGUCAUUGGAAACUGGGGAACUUGAGUGCAGAAGAGGAGAGUGGAAUUCCACGUGUAGCGGUGAAAUGCGUAGAGAUGUGGAGGAACACCAGUGGCGAAGGCGACUCUCUGGUCUGUAACUGACGCUGAGGAGCGAAAGCGUGGGGAGCGAACAGGAUUAGAUACCCUGGUAGUCCACGCCGUAAACGAUGAGUGCUAAGUGUUAAGGGGUUUCCGCCCCUUAGUGCUGCAGCUAACGCAUUAAGCACUCCGCCUGGGGAGUACGGUCGCAAGACUGAAACUCAAAGGAAUUGACGGGGGCCCGCACAAGCGGUGGAGCAUGUGGUUUAAUACGAAGCAACGCGAAG
rnacentral:rRNA from 1 species